GAGGGUAUAGCUCAGUGGUAGAGUGCCGACUUAGGACGCCCAAGGUCCUGGGUUCAAUCCUCAGUACCGCCA
rnacentral:tRNA from 1 species